rnacentral:rRNA from 1 species
UACGGGGGGAGCAAGCGUUGUUCGGAUUUACUGGGCGUAAAGGGCGCGUAGGCGGCCACCGCAAGUCGAUUGUGAAAUCUCCGGGCUUAACCCGGAAAGGUCAACCGAUACUGCGGGGCUAGAGUGCAGAAGGGGCAACUGGAAUUCUCGGUGUAGCGGUGAAAUGCGUAGAUAUCGAGAGGAACACCGGUGGCGAAGGCGGCGACCUGGGUAGAUACUGACGCUGAGGUGCGAAAGCGUGGGGAGCAAACAGG